GAUGAAGAACGCAGCGAAAUGCGAUACGUAAUGUGAAUUGCAAAUUCAGUGAAUCAUCGAGUCUUUGAACGCACAUUGCGCCCCCUGGUAUUCCGGGGGGCAUGCCUGUCCGAGCGUCAUUGCUGCCCUCAAGCACGGCUUGUGUGUUGGGCCCCGUCCUCCGAUCCCGGGGGACGGGCCCGAAAGGCAGCGGCGGCACCGCGUCCGGUCCUCGAGCGUAUGGGGCUUUGUCACCCGCUCUGUAGGCCCGGCCGGCGCUUGCCGAUCAACCCAAAUUUUUAUCCAGGUUGACCUCGGAUCAGGAAGGGAUACCCGCUGAACUUAAGCAUAUCAAUAAGCGGAGGA
rnacentral:misc_RNA from 1 species